rnacentral:tmRNA from 1 species
GGGGGUGACUUGGUUUCGACUGGAGCAGUCGGAGCUGUGUGCAUGUCGGAGCGGACCACUCCGUAAUCAAGUCCAAACACAAAACAAACGCAAACAAUACAGAUUAUCGCCCCGCUUACGCCGUAGCGUAAGUAUAACCCUUUUUGGGGCUGUCUCACCGGUAACGCCGUCUCAACCGGAUUCGAGGCAUCGACAAACGACGGCUAUAUCGGCGGUGCGUCCCAACCGUCGAUGAAUCGAGGGACUGGUUCCGCGCAGCUCUGGGUAUCGUGCGAGGCGGAACGAGAAUAUAACGAUACCGUCUAAACAUGUAGAGUCACAGCGCCUGCUGUUUCAGGACAGGGGUUCGAUUCCCCUCACCUCCACCA